ensembl:lncRNA
UCCAGUUCUUAAUCCAUAUACCAGAUCAAACUUUGAUUAAACAUGGUAUUUCGUUGGUGAGCGGCCGUAGCAUUUGGUGGGAUAAUAAGCUCAAAGUUUCCCCUUCGAUGGCUGCGAUCGCCUGGUGCCAUCGCCGACGUGAGUAAUUCUGGCCCGCCGCUGCUUCCACGCCGGGGUCCCGGUGCUAGUGCGUGUCCACAGUUGGUGUGUGUGUGUGUGUGUGUGUGUGUGUGUGUGUGUGUGUGAGUGUGUGUGCGUGUGUGAGAGUGUGUGCGUGUGUGAGAGUGUGUGUGUGUGUGUGUGUGUGUGUGUGAGAGUGGAUGGUGGCUCAGCAAUGUUUGCACAUCAAUGUGUAAGAUCUCAACAAACUUAUCAGAAUUAUACUGUGAGCUGCCGUGAUUGUUGCACACGGAGGACAUGUUUAUGUCAUCUCAUCUCAGACUGUGUUUUAUAAAUAAAUAAACACAAAGUAUAGGGUGUAUCUUAACACAUUACAGAAAAAACGAAAUGAGGAGGAAGAAUGCGAAUGACACAUAAUAUGACAUACUCAUCUUUACCUUGUCUGUGUGUCAUUUCAAGUAUUUAUUUAUUUUCAAAUAUCAAAUACUCUUCUUUUUGUUUAACCCAUCAGCGACAGUCCUCACGCCUCUCCAAACUGACUGAGUCUCCCACCCAGCUUGUGUAUACUGUAAAGAAUAUGAGCGGAUGAAAAAAAUCCAAGGGAGGGGGGACAUUUAAGACCUCUCAGCCUCCAGCAGCUGGAGCUUUCAUCACGGCAAAAGGUAAAUACUACGACUGUCAACAUAAACGCAUUAAUCUAUGCGAUUAAUGUGGCCAACAUUAAUCCAACAAAAUAUUUUAACAUAGUUAACGUACUUUUGUUUACUUCCGGAAGUAACCGGAAAUUGACCGGGGAAACGUAACGGCCGCUAGCGGCAGUCAGUUACUUCGGAGAUAGCAAGACGGUAGCUCCAGAUGUGCAGUGAAACAAACAGACAUACGGCGGAGAAGUGUGCAGAGGAAUUCCUCCACGUGUCAAACAGAAGGGGGGUGAGUGGCAAACGGACCACUGAAAGCACCGCUAUGCUAAGCUAUCUGCUAGGCUAAGCUAGCUGGAAGAGUUGCUAGUUCCACCCGGUGGAAUUCUGCCUCCAUGAUGAUAAAAUGUAUGUAGUUUUGUGUUUAAAAUAACAUUGACAAUUUAAAAACAGUGUCUAAAAUACACCUUUUCAAAAGUGUACUCGUAAUUACUUGUAAGAUUUAGUAAAAGAAAAUUAAAAACCACGGUGUAACAACAACAACAUUCAUUAAUCACCAUUAAUCGCCAUUAAUCGAGAUUAAUGCAAUUCAAAAUGUGCGAUUAAUUUGUUAAUUUUUGUUUAUCUAUUGACAGCCCUAGUAAAUACACGAUUCAUGGGAAUACCCCAGAAUGUACACGAUGAGGGAGACAAGAUACUAUCUUUUUGUAAUAAUGUCAUUGUGUUAUUCCUCCCUGUAUAUGUAACUAUUAGAAGGCUCAACACGACAUCCUGUUGUAAGACUUUCUCCUGCAUGUUUUUAAUGCUGAGCCCGAAUGGAAACUGAGUAUUUCAAUUGAGAUGAAAACACUGUGUUUUUAUUACACAAAUGCAGUGCGUUUGUUGACUUCCCUUUGACACUUCUCCGACUCUGUGGGCUGCACCUGCUGACCCAACGUCAUCUCCAAAACCUGUUUGUAAAAAUGUAUACAAAAAUCUUGAACAUACAAAUUCGUAACAAUACAUGGGAACUGGCGGUGGUUAACCACGCCCCUUGAGUGAACAACAUGGCGGACCAUGUCGGAUUCUUGAGUGAACGUCUCUCCGCCAUGUUGGAUUUUUUGAGGGGGUUUUGCUUAGGAUUCUAUUCUUACAAGUUAACAUUCAUUUCUCGUUAAAAAUGCAAUAAACACGUUUAUUUUACAUCGUUAGAUUUCACAAAGUGUGUUUACGGGGCGCAGGUCCCCGUUCACUUUGAACAGGGUGACGUCAUCAGUCGCAGUCCGUAUUUAUUUCGUAUGUAUCACUACGAAUUUGUAUGUUCAAGAUGUUCGUAUACAUUUUUACGAACAGGUUUUGGAGAUCAGGCUGGCUGACCUCACCGGGGUUCAGUCACUGCUGCUGUCUCCCAUCGCAGCGUGUGUGUGUGUGUGUGUGUGUGUGUGUGUGUGUGUGUGUGUGCGUGUGCGUGUGACGUGGAGAACCUGUGAGUUUGAAAGGCAAAAAACAAAAAAUAUUAGGUGAGAAAAAGCAAAUAUAUCACGAUUGAGAAGGAAAAGUGAACAUAAAGGGAAAUGUAACAAAGAAUGCAGAAGACAACACUCGAAAUAUUAAUAACAUCCAUAUUAUGAAUUAUGUUGAGCGAAGGAUCAGUGGAAAACGAGAGCUGCGUUACAAAAAUGCAAAAUAUUUUAAUAGUACAGGUUUCUGCUUAACAAUAUUCCCUGUGCAACAUUUUCUACCCUGAAGAUUCAGAGUGUUUCAACCCCCAAAAUAACCGUAACAAGGCAGAGGACAAAUCAUAAUAUAAAACAUAAAUGGCCGACAAAAAAACAAUCGUUUUUUUUUAAUUUAUUAUAAUAAUACAUUUCUGCAAUGUGAUGAAAAUCCCCCACAUCUGUUUCACAUCACAUGUUUAUUUAUAGCACAACAGAAUCCAACAACUGCUGAAUGAGUGCUCACUGCCGUGGGGGGUGCACAAGGAAACGCUCCGUGCUUCUGUAGUUCCAACCUUGGGGAGUCCACCGGUUCCGAUGGCUUCCCGGUCGAGCGACGUUCACG